rfam:Aedes aegypti strain Liverpool supercont1.149 genomic scaffold, whole genome shotgun sequence.
CAAUCGGCCCUUUUCAGGGCAACAAAUGUGUUUUAAAGAGUUGAUU